AUUGAACGCUGGCGGAAUGCUUUACACAUGCAAGUCGAACGGCAGCACGGGGGCAACCCUGGUGGCGAGUGGCGAACGGGUGAGUAAUACAUCGGAACGUGCCCAGUCGUGGGGGAUAACGUAACGAAAGUUACGCUAAUACCGCAUACGAUCUACGGAUGAAAGCGGGGGAUCGCAAGACCUCGCGCGAUUGGAGCGGCCGAUAUCAGAUUAGGUAGUUGGUGGGGUAAGGGCUCACCAAGCCAACGAUCUGUAGCUGGUCUGAGAGGACGACCAGCCACACUGGAACUGAGAGACGGUCCAGACUCCUACGGGAGGCAGCAGUGGGGAAUUUUGGACAAUGGACGCAAGUCUGAUCCAGCCAUUCCGCGUGCAGGAUGAAGGCCCUCGGGUUGUAAACUGCUUUUGUACGGAACGAAAAGGUCUCUCUUAAUACGGGGGACUCAUGACGGUACCGUAAGAAUAAGCACCGGCUAACUACGUGCCAGCAGCCGCCGUAA
rnacentral:rRNA from 1 species